AGGAGUAAUCACAUUGUUCUGUUCCUUGACUAUGGCGAUAGCCAGAUGCCAUAACUGUAUCAGAACUCGCAGAACAGUAACUUAAAAAGCGUGUUUUAUUUUAGGUAGAGUCUGAAGCAGUUUCAGAUCUGAGGCAAUAUGAAGGAAAACCGCAGGCAUGAUUACUACAAUUAAGAUUUUAAAAACAUUUUAAUACUUUCCGUCCUUGCAAAAAGUUUCGGUGCAGUUCUAAAGGGAAACAAAGGUUUCCGGUAUCAAUUUCUGCAUGAAAAUAGUGAAGGCUCAAACUGUGGUGUUUCUGAUAGGACAGCUCCCAUUCUGAGAUACAGUAAAAUACAACAGACGAGGGAACAGGUUAUGAAGUUAUGAAGCCCGUAGUCAGAUUCCCACCUCUGUGACUCAUCUGCUAUGAGAUCUUGACCACAUCAUUGAAUCGCUUCAAACCGCAUUCUCCAUCAUCUGUAAAAUGGUAAUAACGAUAGUGCCUCCUUUGUACGAUUCUCAUAAUGAUUAAAUGGAAAGGUGACUGUAAGCACUA